rnacentral:rRNA from 1 species
CACGUAGGGCGCAAGCGUUGUCCGGAAUUAUUGGGCGUAAAGAGCUCGUAGGCGGUCUGUUACGUCUGCUGUGAAAAUCCGGGGCUUAACCCUGGGCUUGCAGUGGAUACGGGUAGACUAGAGGCAGGUAGGGGAGAAUGGAAUUCCCGGUGUAGCGGUGAAAUGCGCAGAUAUCGGGAGGAACACCGGUGGCGAAGGCGGCAUCCUGGACCGGCAUUGACGCUGAUGAGCGAAAGCCAGGGGAGCAAACGGG